UACAGAGGGUGCAAGCGUUAAUCGGAAUUACUGGGCGUAAAGGGCUCGUAGGCGGCCAACUAAGUCAGACGUGAAAUCCCUCGGCUUAACCGGGGAACUGCGUCUGAUACUGGAUGGCUUGAGUUUGGGAGAGGGAUGCGGAAUUCCAGGUGUAGCGGUGAAAUGCGUAGAUAUCUGGAGGAACACCGGUGGCGAAGGCGGCAUCCUGGACCAACACUGACGCUGAGGAGCGAAAGCCAGGGGAGCAAACGGG
rnacentral:rRNA from 1 species